rnacentral:rRNA from 1 species
AUUGAACGCUGGCGGCAGGCCUAACACAUGCAAGUCGAACGAGUGGCGGACGGGUGAGUAAUGUAUGGGGAUCUGCCUGAUGUAGGGGGAUAACUACUGGAAACGGUGGCUAAUACCGCAUACCAUCGGAUGUGCCCAUAUGGGAUUAGCUAGUCGGUGGGGUAAAGGCUCACCUAGGCGACGAUCCCUAGCUGGUCUGAGAGGAUGACCAGCCACACUGGAACUGAGACAAGGCCCAGACGCCUACGGGAGGCAGCAGUGGGGAAUAGUGCACAAUGGGCGCAAGCCUGAUGCAGCCAUGCCGCGUGUAUGAAGAAGGCCUUCGGGUUGUAAAGUACUUUCAGCGGGGAGGCGUUACCCGCAGAAGAAGCACCGGCUAACUCCGUGCCAGCCGCCGCGGUAAUAC